GGAUUUUACCCUCGUCACAUCAACCUGACUCUGUUCAGAGAUGGGCAGCCUGUAUCUGAUCAUGAGAUCACUGGAGGAGAUCUGCUGCCCAAUGCUGACGGGACGUACCAGAUGAGGAAGAGUCUGGAGAUCAGUGCUGCAGACAAACACAAAUACACCUGCUCUGUCACACACCUCAGUCUGGACGACAAACUGGACAUUGAUUUGGAGUAUCCAGGGGAAACAUUUGAGGUGGUGGUUUUGGCAUUGGGAUUGGUGUUUUUGACUGUGGUUGCCAUUUUUAUAUCGAGGAGAAGGUAUCGUUCAGUUUCCUCUUCAAGUAACUACUCUUCUGCUUCUAGUGGGUAUUUUCUGUCCAGGUUGUGAUUUAAUUAAUUUGCACGAAGAAUAACAAAAUAUAAAUUAAUCUGAAUAUUUUCUAACACAUUCUUUUUUUUACCAUCAUUUUCAGCAAGUGAAGAUGGCAUGAAUAAAACCUAAUUUGGUUUCUUGGUGAAGUAAAUUAAGAUUUAUUUGCACAAUAGAAAGUACAGAUAAUAUUAUUUAUUAUAUUAUUUAUCAGCAAUAUUAUUAUCUUCAGCAAAAACGUAUCAGGGAAUUGGUCUUUGUGAACUGCGGGACAACAACAAACCUGGACAAAUUAUUGCCAAGACUGUUUUUGAUGGCUCCACAACAGAAGAAGUGGGAUAUUUUGGUGGCAAGUAAAGGUCCUUUAAAAUACUCAGAUGAGAACACAAAUCCUUAUCUCCAGCUGUUUAUGUGGUAUCAUGAGAUGUUAUGCUUUCCAAACUGUAUAAAAACUCUCAAGACUUUGACAACAAACUGGACUGUCACUUUGGAAGAUGCACUUUCCAGUUAUCACACAGGUGUUCUGCUAUCUGGUGCUGCUGUCCUGCUGUUGUUAUGUGUGAUUUUGUCAAUAGCAAUAGCCAUUUGCAUGACAAGUCAAGCAGAAAGACAGAGAGGUAGGCCUAAUUUAAUGUUCU
ensembl:lncRNA